rnacentral:rRNA from 1 species
AGUGGACGCUGGCGGUAGGCCUAACACAUGCAAGUCGAACGGCAGCACAGUAAGAGCUUGCUCUUACGGGUGGCGAGUGGCGGACGGGUGAGGAAUACAUCGGAAUCUACUUUUUCGUGGGGGAUAACGUAGGGAAACUUACGCUAAUACCGCAUACGACCUACGGGUGAAAGCAGGGGAUCUUCGGACCUUGCGCGAUUGAAUGAGCCGAUGUCGGAUUAGCUAGUUGGCGGGGUAAAGGCCCACCAAGGCGACGACCCGUAGCUGGUCUGAGAGGAUGAUCAGCCACACUGGAACUGAGACACGGUCCAGACUCCUACGGGAGGCAGCAGUGGGGAAUAUUGGACAAUGGGCGCAAGCCUGAUCCAGCCAUACCGCGUGGGUGAAGAAGGCCUUCGGGUUGUAAAGCCCUUUUGUUGGGAAAGAAAAGCAGCAGGUUAAUACCCCGCUGUUCUGACGGUACCCAAAGAAUAAGCACCGGCUAACUUCGUG